ACCGCCCACUAUAAUCUUACUGUCCAGUUACAGAGGUUUGGUUCACCAUGUUGGAUCAAAUGUUCAUCAUUAUAUCGCUCGGAGUAUAACAGUCUAUCAUGCCGGUGACAAGUGCUCGUCGUGGGUUAACAGUGUAGAUCUGUCACGGCGCCUUCCCGUUCCAUCGAUGACAGCAGGACUCCGCGACACGUUCUCGAAAGAAAGGAGGGAUUACUGUUUUGAUUUGGAGACACCCAGUAGCUAACACUAAGCUGUCAGGUUCAAAACAGCGGUCCUUUUCAGUCUCAAGAGUCUCCAGGCAAACGGUUGAAAGGAUUUAACUUUUCCUUAACACUAUCCAGUGGCUCUGGGUGAACUUUGUCGAGUCCAAGAGGACAGCGGCUUGUGUGUUAAAAGAGCCAAAGACUGUCGAUGGGGGAAGUAAGUUGCCACUCAGCCCGUCUACGAGGAUUUCUCUUCUGCUAUUUUGAUGCAAGCUCGAUCCUUGUUCGCUGUCAAAAUGUGGAGGAUUUCUGAGAAGACGCCUUGCGCUUCAGUUCUGUGUAAUAUGUGAGGGAGGUGGGUCACCGAGGCCUGGGCCUGCCUGCUGUAGUGGGGCCUGGGAGAAGAUACACCUCCUCUGUACCGGAUCAGCAGCGAUAAUUAAGGCUUGGAGAUUACCACUGUUUACGGAGUAGCUGUUUGGCCUGCACACACUUCCGAGAAGAGGUAGGCUAUCGUUUGGAAAAAAAAAAUUGAUGCGAUUUUCAGGCAGCCUGGAGCCCAGCUGGCAGCAACGGCAACAGUCCUGGACCAGAGCGUCUGGCAAACUUGGACACUUCAAAAAGAGGAGAGCUCGUUUUCUCAUGUGACAAGCGUCAGACCACACUGUAAGGAAGCAGACUUAAAAUCAGCAGGGAGGGUGGUGCCAACACCAUCAUGAGGGACAUUUAGGUCCUUUGUUUUAUUUAUUGAGGGGUGGGCGGGUUGUUUUCAGUUUUUGUUUUUGUCCUUCCACUAGUACUGGAGAAGCAAGACACUUAUGUAGUCAUAUUUUUACAUGCCUGUUAUUCUCCAAGAUCCUUGUACCAGAAUGGUAGGACUCCCAGUAGAUGAAAGGACAGUUGAAGAAUCUGUUCCCCUUGAGUUUCAUUGAUUGUACUAUAGGAGCCUGGUAGCCACUAUCAUCACUUCGACUCACGAUUAGUGAAUGACUCUUUGUGGCACAUCAGCUCCAAAUGUUACAAAAAUGAUGGCUGCAUACAAUGGUGGCUCUUCAGCCGUGGCUGCCCAUCUUCCUCAUCACCACCACCACCAGCUGCAGCAUCUCCCGCCUCCACACAUGCAUCACCACCACCACGUGGGCCAGCAUCACUUGCAGCACCCGGGCUCUGCUGCUGCCGUUCACACUAUCCAACAGCACACCUCCACGGUUGCUGCUGCUGCUGUGAUGCUUAACCCCGGUCAGCAGCAACCGUACUUCCCCUCUCCAGCCCCUGGACAGGCCCCCGGGCCCGCGGCGGCAGUGGCUCCGGCCCAAGUUCAAGCCGCCGCUGUCAAAGCUCACCAUCAUCAUCACCAUCAUCAGCAGCACACACACCACCUGCAGCAGCAGCUUGAUAUAGAGCCUGACAGGCCUAUUGGCUAUGGUGCGUUUGGGGUUGUCUGGUCAGUCACAGAUCCUAGAGAUGGAAAGCGAGUUGCCCUCAAAAAGAUGCCCAAUGUCUUCCAAAACCUUGUUUCUUGCAAGAGGGUAUUUCGAGAACUGAAGAUGCUAUGUUUUUUUAAACAUGAAAAUGUGCUCUCUGCUCUUGACAUUCUGCAACCUCCACACAUCGACUACUUUGAAGAAAUAUAUGUGGUGACUGAACUGAUGCAAAGUGACCUCCAUAAGAUCAUUGUUUCACCACAGCCCCUUAGCUCAGACCAUGCUAAAGUUUUUCUCUAUCAGAUUCUACGAGGAUUGAAGUACCUUCAUUCUGCUGGCAUUCUUCACCGAGACAUCAAACCUGGCAAUCUUUUGGUCAACAGCAACUGUGUAUUGAAGAUCUGUGAUUUUGGCCUGGCACGAGUGGAAGAGACUGAUGAGUCGCGGCACAUGACUCAGGAAGUGGUGACACAAUACUACCGGGCUCCAGAGAUCCUGAUGGGAAGCCGUCACUACUCCAACUCCAUCGAUAUCUGGUCUGUGGGUUGUAUCUUUGCUGAGCUGUUGGGGCGAAGAAUCCUCUUUCAAGCCCAGAGUCCCAUCCAGCAGCUGGACUUGAUCACUGACUUGUUGGGGACUCCUUCUAUGGAGGCGAUGAGGACGGCGUGUGAAGGAGCUCGUGCACAUAUUCUCAGAGGACCUAACAAACAGCCAUCCCUUCCUGUUCUUUACACACUGUCCAGUCAAGCAACUCAUGAAGCUGUUCACCUUCUCUGCAGAAUGCUGGUCUUUGAUCCGUCAAAGCGGAUUUCAGCAAAGGAUGCCCUGGCACACCCGUACCUGGAUGAGGGUCGAUUACGCUACCACACGUGCAUGUGUAAAUGCUGCUACACAACAUCUUCUGGCCGCGUUUACACAAGUGACUUUGAGCCUCUCACCAACCCCAAGUUUGAUGAUGGCUUUGAGAAGAAUCUAAGCUCUGUGAGACAAGUCAAAGAGAUUAUCCAUCAGUUCAUUUUGGAACAGCAAAAGGGGAGUCGAGUACCAUUGUGCAUCAACCCUCAGUCGGCUGCUUUCAAGAGCUUUAUUAGAGGUGGACAUUCCGGCACCUGACGUGAGGUCCCUCAACCCGUCACUGACAGAAGGCAAUGUUGCUGACGAAUGACGAGAAAUUAAAGUUCCACAGUGGCACAGCCCUCAGAAAUGCCUCCUUCUCCACUGGUGUGGGAAUAGCUGCUGUUGUGAUUGCGGUCAUCUUUGCCAACUGUGAAGAUGCUAAAAUGGAAUCAUGAAAGCAGCGUCUUCUGUGAUCUGGGUACCGUUCCCACCAACUACUGUUUAGAAGGAAAUGUAGGAAAAAUACUCUGUAGACCAAAUCAGAAUGUGGUAAAUGUCAUGUAUCAUUCACUAGAUUUAACACUACACUUCUCCAGAAUGAAGUAAAUUUGUUUCAAUGUAUAGAUUUUAAAAACUGAUAUGUAAUUUAAAAAUGUACUUUUCAUAAGAUUUGCUUCUGACAUGACUUUCCCCCUGUGACAAGGUUUGUACGAUUACAACUGUCUUUCCAUCUGCACUCAGAUACCAAAUUGGCAUGAAACUAAUAUUCAGACAAUCGAUUGUAGCUGCAUCAUCAGAUUUUUAGGAACUUUUAAGUUCCCUGUUUUUAUACAACGAUGUUCCUGAGUACGUUAGUACAUGAAAGUGAUACUUGUAACAGGACUUUCUUCGGUCCUGUGCACCUCCACAAAUUUUUAACCUGUUGUAACUAUUGUUUACCAAAGAGGAGACAUACACACACGCCAAAAUAUUACGAUUGUGGGUAAAACGAGUGUGUUGUUGCAUAUCAGGCCAAUUUUAAAGUAAGUAUUCUUACACAGAAAAGUGUCCACUCAUGAAUCACACUACUUGUAUUGGUUUGAGAGCAAAUUUUGAUUAAGGAAAUAUCAAAUUGAUAUCCCAAAGAGACUACCAUGCAGGAAUGCAAUUAUUUUGAAAUAGUAAGUUAUACACUCAAAUUGUAUGCGUGUUGUGCAUGCAAUUUAAGAGAUGAUAUAUGCAAACAAAUUUUGUCAAGCACCUACAAUUAUUUAUAUCAUUUUUGAUUGGUUUCCCACGAUCACACCAAGUCAGACAGCAAUGAAAAAUAUUUCUUCAAUGGGCGAGACAAUUUCAUUUGGAGUUCACGUUUCUUAUGAGAUUAGCAUGCCAGCGUACAUUUCGUGAGUUUCAAAUGACAUGUACAGCUAAGGCCACGCAUGCCACGUGAAGAACAAAAUUGGCAAUGAUUAAGAAAUAGGUUUGGGAAGCAAAAUGGCUCAUAUAUGCAAGUAUAUAUAUUUAUAAAAAUGUUAGACUAACAUUUUAAAUUUUAAGUUAUAGAUGAGUAAAAAUAGCAACUGUUCUGUGUCAGUUCAUCACGUGUGCAUCUUCAAUUUAAAGCAUCGUAAUCUUGAACUCACUUAAAAGGAGCACAUUACAAGCUCAAAGAGAGCAAGAAGAAAAAUCUAGUACCUUGGCCGUCUUGAGUUUUUCCUUGGCUCACUAGCGGUUAUAUAAAAGAGGUCAAAAUCCUUUUGAUUUGAUCUGUGUUCCACCAUUCAUUGCUUUAUCAGGCCAUUUCAUUGCCAUCGGUCGGUCCAUCUUUACAAUGUAGAAUACGUUUUUGUAUCUAACAAGCAACGGCCAGUAAGGGGGGGGGGGGGACUGAAAUGUUCGUCAACAUUAUUCUUCCCUAAAACACACACGCAGAAAAAGCAAUGUAGCAUGUUUUCUAUUAAUCUAAUGAAUUGAGACCCUUUUGAAAUUUUACAAAGACAAAUCCAUCCUGCAGGACUACUUAUUGUUACUUUAUAACACCUACAACAGGAUGUGAGUUCGCUCUACAAUUAAAAUCAAAUUCCUAUUUUUAAUCCUUCCUUUCCCCAGUCUGUGACAUAUACUAGUGAUAAAAUCAUUUUCGCUCAGAUGAUGUUGUGCAUAUAAAAGGGAGUCCCACAAGAGAACUUUAAGUUUAGAAAUAACAGAAGCUGAGAAAAGAGUGGUAGAUUACAGCUGGCAAGAUCCAGUCUUCCUUUGUAAACUGCCUAUUUUAAACCAUUUCUUCUAUGCUUGUUGCUCUGAGGACCGUGUUGACAAAUGGAGACUUGUCACCAAAAAGAAAAUGCACUGAGCAAGACAGCAGUCAAACCAGCAAUAGCAUUCUCUCAAGGUUGUAAUUAGUGUAUUUGACUAAAUUGCCAUGUACUUUGACUAGCUCUCUUUAUUCAUGAAUUGUCUUUAAAGAGCAUAGACAGGAACUAAGUAGCAUAUUAAUAACAUUUUGUUUGAAAAUGGUAAUGACAUGAGGUUUCUGCCCUCCUUGUACACUGUAUUCAGAAAAAAUAGCUUUGAAGUAAAUUAUUUAAUAUAUUUUUAGAAUUAUUUUUUAUCCUGUUCUUGUCCUAAGGCAUGCGUUCUCCUCACACCUCAAAAGUAUGGUUUUGUAUAUGUGUGUAAUAGAGAAGCUAAUAUACACACUAACUUAAAAUGUACCGUAGUACCACUGUAUAGAAAUUGUAUUAGCCUGCACAUUUCUAAGGCUGUGAAGUUAAUUUUAUUUUUAAACCUUGCAUACAAAUGUAUAUAUAUUUUUUCUUUUUACCCUGCAACUAGUAAAUCUAGAGGACAAACUAUGCUGUCCAGUGGAGUACACAGUAAUGUCAGCUGUAUGAUGUGUCUACAGCAAAUUUGUAGAUAAAUAUAGGGAGAAGCCUUGUUUUGUUAUUAAUGUUCACUCUGUCAUUGCAGCAACACUGCGUGAAUAUGUAUAUAAAGGAUUCACCACCGUGUUGGUCUCUA